AUGGAAGUGAUGAUCAUUUCCCCAGGUGAUCGAAGCUGAACAAACUGUGCGAAUUUUUAAUCUUUAAUUCGUUAGAGAUUUCAAGCCAGAGCUCUGAUCCGU